rnacentral:rRNA from 1 species
AACGAACGCUGGCGGCAUGCCUAACGCAUGCAAGUCGAACGAGACCUUCGGGUCUAGUGGCGCACGGGUGCGUAACGCGUGGGAACCUGCCCUUAGGUUCGGAAUAACUCCCCGAAAGGGGUGCUAAUACCGGAUAAUGUCUUCGGACCAAAGAUUUAUCGCCUUUGGAUGGGCCCGCGUUGGAUUAGCUAGUUGGUAGGGUAAAAGCCUACCAAGGCGACGAUCCAUAGCUGGUCUGAGAGGAUGAUCAGCCACACUGGGACUGAGACACGGCCCAGACUCCUACGGGAGGCAGCAGUGGGGAAUAUUGGACAAUGGGCGAAAGCCUGAUCCAGCAAUGCCGCGUGAGUGAUGAAGGCCUUAGGGUUGUAAAGCUCUCUUACCCGGGAUGAUAAUGACAGUACCGGGAGAAUAAGCUCCGGCUAACUCCGUG